CAGGCCUACCAUGCAGUCGAGCGGGGACUUCGGUCCUAGCGGCGAACGGGUGAGGAAUGCUUGGGAAUCUGCCUGGUAGUGGGGGAUAACGUUCCGAAAGGAACGCUAAUACCGCAUACGUCCUACGGGAGAAAGGGGGGGAUCUUCGGACCUCUCGCUAUCAGAUGAGCCCAAGCCGGAUUAGCUAGUUGGUGAGGUAAUGGCUCACCAAGGCGACGAUCCGUAGCUGGUCUGAGAGGAUGAUCAGCCACACUGGAACUGAGACACGGUCCAGACUCCUACGGGAGGCAGCAGUGGGGAAUAUUGGACAAUGGGCGCAAGCCUGAUCCAGCCAUGCCGCGUGUGUGAAGAAGGCCUUCGGGUUGUAAAGCACUUUAAGCGGGGAGGAAGGUUCGCUACUUAAUACGUAGCGGAAUUGACGUUACCCGCAGAAUAAGCACCGGCUAACUCUGUGCCAGCAGCCGCGGUAAUACAGAGGGUGCAAGCGUUAAUCGGAAUUACUGGGCGUAAAGCGCGCGUAGGUGGUUGUGUAAGUUGGAUGUGAAAUCCCCGGGCUUAACCUGGGAAUGGCAUUCAAAACUGCACGGCUAGAGUACGGGAGAGGGGGGUAGAAUUCCAGGUGUAGCGGUGAAAUGCGUAGAGAUCUGGAGGAAUACCGAUGGCGAAGGCAGCCCCCUGGCCUGAUACUGACACUGAGGUGCGAAAGCAUGGGGAGCAAACAGGAUUAGAUACCCUGGUAGUCCAUGCCGUAAACGAUGUCGACUAGGUGUUGGGGAACUUGAUUCCUUAGUGCCGCAGCUAACGCAUUAAGUCGACCGCCUGGGGAGUACGGCCGCAAGGUUAAAACUCAAAUGAAUUGACGGGGGCCCGCACAAGCGGUGGAGCAUGUGGUUUAAUUCGAUGCAACGCGAAGAACCUUACCUACUCUUGAC
rnacentral:rRNA from 1 species